CCUACCAAUAUUUCUACAUGGGGGUGUCAGAUCCAGGCCCGGAUGUUCCUGCCUUUACUGCCCUGGGCUACGUGGAUGACCAGCAAAUUCUCCACUAUGACAGCGAGACACGGAGAGAGGAGCCACGUGGUGACUGGGUGCAGGGGGCCGUCGACCCAGACUUCUGGGACAGGGAAACCUGGGCCCUGCGGGGCUGGCAGGAGGGAGUUGAAGGGAACCUGAUCACACUGCAGUUUCGCUACAACCAGACCGGUGGGUCUCACACUCUCCAGUUCAUGUACGGCUGUGAGAUCCAUGAAGACGGCAGCACUGGAGGCUACAUGCGGUUGGGCUACGAUGGGAGAGAAUUCAUUAGCUAUGACCUGGGAACGCGCACCUGGGUAGCAGUCCCAACACAGGCCCAGAUCACCCAGCGCAAGUGGAAUGAGGAUAAGAGCCUUCUUCAGUAUACAAGAGCUUACCUGGAGGAGGAGUGCAUCAAGUGGCUGCGGAAGUGCCUGCAGCACAGGACGGCAGCGCUGCAGAGCAAGCCCCCCAAGGCACAGGUGAGCAACAGGCUGUUGUUCCAGGAUGGACUCACCACCCUGUCCUGCUGGGUCCACGGUUUCUACCCCAAGAAAAUUUCUGUCGUCUGGCUGAAGAAUGGAGAGGCACAGCCCCAGGAGAUGAGCCACUCGGGGGUCAUUCCCAGUGGAGAUGGGACCUACCAGACCCGGGCCACCAUCGAGAUUGACCCCAGCAGCAACCAUGAUUACAUCUGUAGUGUGAAGCACGUGAGCCUGAGUGCAGACUUGAGAGUGCCCUGGGACAAGAGCAGGAAGGAGCCCGAGUCCAGCAUGAUGCUGAUUGAGGGCAUCGUUAUUGCUGUGGUGCUGGUCAUCGCUCUGCUAGGUGCAGCUCUUUACUUCCUCAGGAGAUGGGGAGCCUGAUGCAAUGCAGCACCUGCCCCCAAAGGCUCAGACAGCCCCGGAAGUAUUCGCAAGUCUGAAACCUACCUCACAGCUUAACAGAGCCUGGUGGAGCCUGCACCGCAUCCUGAGGGGCCCAUGGAAGAGGAGAAGGAACAACACUUAGCAAUAUGCUGCACUGAUCCACCCCUUCAGAAUGCCUUAAUUUUGCCAGAGCAAAGCCCCUUGUUCUUGGCAGCAAAUAGUUUAUGUAUGACAUUAAAACUGCUGGGUUGUGGCCUGUCUGAUGGGAUUAUGGGGAGGGGGGUAGGAUUUGGGGAUUGCCUCAGCUGAUCAGAUGGACCACAGUUUUGUUUACAUAUAUUUAUAACAUUUAAAUUUAUAAAUAGGGAGGUACUGAAAAAGCAUUUGCCAAAAAAUCAUAGAAAUUCAUGAAAAGAACAGAGCCUGCUGUUUCAGCUGCCUCUCGAGGAAAGGGUGGGAAGAAGGGUUUAUAGGAGGCAGAAGUGCACAGCCUUACCUGGGGGGUGGGGGAGAGGGAGUUGGAGGAUGAGACUGAAAUUGCUUCCUUAUUGCUGGUUCCUGGUUCUUCUUUCAAGGCUAAUCCUUACCCAAUUUGAGGUUGUUAGUAAUGAAUGGCACAGGCUAAAGACUUUAGGAU